rnacentral:rRNA from 1 species
UACGUAGGGUGCAAGCGUUGUCCGGAAUUAUUGGGCGUAAAGAGCUCGUAGGCGGUCUGUCGCGUCGGCUGUGAAAACCUGGGGCUUAACUCCGGGCUUGCAGCCGAUACGGGCAGACUAGAGUUCGGCAGGGGAGACUGGAAUUCCUGGUGUAGCGGUGAAAUGCGCAGAUAUCAGGAGGAACACCGGUGGCGAAGGCGGGUCUCUGGGCCGAAACUGACGCUGAGAGACGAAAGCUAGGGGAGCGAAUGGG